rnacentral:rRNA from 1 species
AUUGAACGCUGGCGGCAAGCCUAACACAUGCAAGUCGAACGAGUGGCGGACGGGUGAGUAAUGUCUGGGAAACUGCCUGAUGGAGGGGGCUCAAUACUGGAAACGGUAGCUAAUACCGCAUACCAUCGGAUGUGCCCAGGUGGGAUUAGCUAGUAGGUGGGGAAAAGGCUCACCUAGGCGACGAGCCCUAGCUGGUCUGAGAGGAUGACUGGCCACACGGGAACGGAGACACGGUCCAGACUCCGACGGGAGGCAGCAGUGGGGAAUAUUGCACAAUGGGCGAAAGCCUGAUGAAGCCAUGCCGCGUGGUGGAAGAAGGCCUUCGGUUUGUAAAGUACUUUCAGCGGGGAGGCGUUACCCGCAGAAGAAGCACCGGCUAACUCCGUGCCAGCAGCCGCGGUAAUUC